UACGUAGGGUGCGAGCGUUGUCCGGAAUUAUUGGGCGUAAAGGGCUCGUAGGCGGUUUGUCGCGUCGGGAGUGAAAACUCAGGGCUUAACCCUGAGCCUGCUUCCGAUACGGGCAGACUAGGGGUAUGCAGGGGAGAACGGAAUUCCUGGUGUAGCGGUGAAAUGCGCAGAUAUCAGGAGGAACACCGGUGGCGAAGGCGGUUCUCUGGGCAUUACCUGACGCUGAGGAGCGAAAGUGUGGGGAGCGAACAGG
rnacentral:rRNA from 1 species